rnacentral:piRNA from 1 species
UGCCAGGUGCCGGAGUGUUUCUCUUUAUGC